rnacentral:misc_RNA from 1 species
CCUUUCUACGGAGAAUUCUUUUGGCGCCCGUGUGGCGCCGUUCAUGGGGAUGGAUCGUUUCCCUGGCUUUGGCGCCUGGGUUCCGUCCCUUGCUGGUGUGGAAGAGAUCGGAGGCGUUGCGGCCCUUUCGGGUCGGUAUGAGUGGUAUGGCGUGCUUUUGGGUUCCCGGACCGCCACCCCAGGCUUGGUUGCCUGGUGCGGGUCCGUCGUCCCCGCGGGCGUGGGUCUUCCUUUGUGUGGUUGGCUUUCGUUCGUGUGGUGGCCGGUGGUUUGAGAACUGGAUAGUGGACGCGAGCGAUCCUCCGUUCGGGGGGUUUGCUUGCUGUGAUUUCGCAGGACGCAUCAGUUUGUUCUGGUGCGGUUCUGUUUUCGAUUCCGAGAGAUAUUGUUUCUUUUGGUUUCGUUCGAUCGUGUUUUGUAGUGAUCUUUAGUGUUUUGAUGUGUCGUCGGGUGAUUCGUUGUGAUGGCUUUGCGGGU